GCAUUCAGCGGCCCACUCUCUGCAGGGGACGCAAAACCAGCAGAGCUCUUGGAGCUGGAACAGAGUGCUGCGACGCUGGUACCAGAGGUGGUGGACACUGCUCUUAAGUUCCUCCUGGAAGAACCAGAGCGGGAAAACAAGAGUGAAGCCGCCAAUGCUGAGAUUGGCAAACUGCUGACUAACUCAGCAUUUCCCUGCCUCUCUCGGUUUGGAAGAGUUUCUAAAAAUCCUCUGCUCUGUAUCUGCACCAAAGUCAGGCUCACCUUCAACUGUAAGAGGGACUUCUGGAGGAAAGGGAGGCUUCUCUUAAGAGCACUUCCUCGGAGGAGCUGGACAUGGGAAUCAUAGAAGAGAGUAAAACGUCUGCACCAGUCUCUCUGGAUGAAGAGGUUGACACUUUGCCAAAAGAUGUGACUGAGGACACAUACAGAAAAGAGGAAACCUUGUACUGCAGCAGGAGGAAGUGGAGGUAUAUGAGACACAGGACUUCCUUUCUGUGGUUUCCGUAAGAUGAUGACAUGUUGCUUUCGUGUUUAGACUAAGCAAUAAAUCACAGCACUCCCUUUGCAAUAAUAUUGUUAAAUACAUUCAAUAAAAACUAUUAAUUUUAAGUCA